GCUGGAAGGGGCCAGUCUGGAGACAGUCAAGGUAGUUUGGGACAAGGAAGUGGAGAAUUAGCAGAUCGAUAGGAUGGGACCCCGGGGCGGGGGGGAGGUGAGGGUGAGAGGCUCAAAGUGGAUGGAGAGGCAGAGAGAGUGAAACAUGCUUUUGGAGGAAGAAUAGCCUAGUUGACUGUCUUUUGGUUAAACACCUGGGUUGGCGUUACUCGUUGUCUUCUGCUCUUCGUGAAUCUCACUGCAGCUGUCACAUCCUGACUUCAAUUGAUUUACCGGGAUUCUGUGGUAAAAAGUUAUCUAAAGGGAGGGAGGGUAGGGAAGGAUAGACAUGUCCAUUGCGUCAUCCCUAGGUGUCUUUUGUCACCUUCCUUUAUAGUACUAUCCACUUUGAAACGCUGGAUCAAUUAUCAUUUAAUACUUUUACAUCCUUAUUUUUACCUGUCAUUCAGCCCUUUUCCCGAAUAUUCCAGCAAUUGUAUAUCUUAAAACUGCAGUGUUCUCACUCUGACUUUCUUGUUUCUCUUACCUUUAGAGCUAAACUUGUCGAAUGAGGAGGCCCAGAAGAAAUAGCACUGGUUUCUAAGUCAGACCUGGGUUUUAAACUUGUUUUUCAUACUUAUUUUAAGUGUGUGAUCUUGAGAAAACAACUUUGUCCUUAGUUUGUAAAGUGGAGGUUAAUACUUUGAAAGUGCUUUAAAAGUAAUAUUUUGAUAGUAAUGUGAUUCUUUUCCAUUUUUACUUCCUCAAUCUUUGUGUUACUUUAUUAAGCUUGCAGUCUAGAAAGUCUUUUUUUUUUUUCCCAUUUUUCUUAGGUAAUUGAUAUUUCCAACUUAAUUACAGGAUCUUAUAUUUAUGUCUCAGUUAAUUGCUUGCCGUCUUCCCAGCCUAUUAAUUCUGAAUCUCCCUUAACCACUUGUUUCUUCAUAUGUCCCAUGGGGAUGAUAGUACGGACCUUAUUGGGUUGAGGGGAUGAAGGGAGGUAAUAUCAGCAAAGGGUUUAGAAUGAUGCCUGUCACUUGGAAUAAAUUAUUGCCAUUGUUAUUGAUUCCAGGUUCCUCAUCAAGAAGUUAAAAAGGUCACGGCCAAAUUAAAAUUCUUAGAGCAUGCUGGUGGAAUGUAGGUCAGAUUGUCAUUAAUGGUACUCCAGGGAUGAUUGAAUUCAUAGCUGGUUGAAAUUUUAUGUACUAUUAUCUUUUGCCUUCCUGGUGCUGGUCCUUCUUGUUCUGCUAGCCUCGUGGAGCCUGCUCUCUCCUAUUUAUUCCUUAGACUCCAGACUUGUUGGCCUUUGUUAAAGUCUUUGAAAGCACUAAGUUCUCUGAUAUUUUAAGGCCGUUGCACAUAAUGUUCUCUAACGGAAGCUUCCUUUACUUAGCUCUUUAUUAAUUCCUGUUUGACAGUUCAUGCAACAAUUACUGAGUAUGAUGCUGUUCAUUUUUCAAUUAUUAGUUAAAAUGUUAUUUCUUCAUAGGAGUGACUCCCUUCUUGGUAUAAAUCAGGCCCUCCUGUUAAUAAUCCUUUAACGAACCAUUUAUUUUUCUUUCAUAAUGUUGAUCACAAUUUGGUUGUGGUUUCAUUUGGUGGUUUACUGUUUGUCUCUUCCACUAGAAGGCUUCCAUGAGGGCAGGGAAUAAAAGGUUCUAAAAAUUCUUAUAGCUCUGAUACCUGUUACAGACAAUGAAUACACAUAGUACUCAUUCUCUGAUUAUUCUAAUUAGUUGUUUUCAAGCUUAUUAACCACAACCCACAAUAAAAAAGUCACAUUGUGAGCCAGUACACACACACACACACACACACACACACACACACACACAAACACAUGCAACUAUCUGAUACCAAAAGCUUCAUAAACUACCACUUACCAUGACUACAUGUAAAGUACUCUUUUCUAUUUUAUUAAAAUAAUAAAACUCCUGGUUAUAACUUCCUAAUGGGUAGAAACUGGAUUGUUCUAUUCAAGAAGUUCUUUUUUUCAAUAACUAAGAGUGUCCCACAGAGUUGGUUCUUUCCCUAUGCUUACUCUCUGACAUUUUUGUUGUUUCAGUUAAUCAGUUUCAAAAUCUACAUGCCUCUUCCCCCAAGCUUUGUGGAGUUAUGUUUCCUUUUUUUUUUUUUUUUAAGUGUUUAUUCCUGACAGAGAGAGUGUGAACAGGGGAGUGGCAGAGAGAGGGAGACACAGAAUCUGAAGCAGGCUCCAGGCCCUGAGCUGUCAGCACAGAGCCGGAAGUGGGGCUCGAACUCACAGACUGUGAGAUCAUGACCUGAGCUGAAGUCGGACGGCUUAACCGACUGAGCCACCCAGGCGCUCCUGGAGUUAUGUUUCUUAAGUUGUUGCCAGACAUACGAAUGUUCUAUUGAUACAUAAAAACACAGCCUCUCAAAUCCUGCAUUUGUAUAUUUAGUGGUGUGGUUUUGGACUUUUUACUGACCACUUUAUUGCUCCUUAGGACCCCAAAUUGCAAUCUGCAAUUCUUUCUUUUAGCUGCUAUAGAUUUUAGCCAGAUCUUUAGUAUCACACAUGUAGUUAGUGUCUCUUCUAGUAUACACUGAGUUACCAGAAUAAUAUUCCUCAUUCACUCAGUGCCCUGUUAUUCCACAAUUAUUUCUGGCUUUGUGCUCGAUACUUGAGGGACCUUGCAGUUUACAAAGCAGUCAUAUUUAAUCACUGUUCUUCAGUGUUUCAGUUCUACUUUUUCCGCAUGCGUUUUCCUUCUUCACAUUUCUGCUUUUCCUUUAUUCCAGCUGUACCUUUGCUCAGACCAGUCUUAACACUGGCACCAACCCUCUUCCGUUUUACUUUUGAAAGUAUUCCUUGCUGAAGUCGCCUCCCGCAUCAUUAGAAUUUUCACACUUUUCUCUCCAUCCUCGCCAACACUUAUUUCUUGUCUUUUUUUGAUACUAGCCAUUCUGGCUGGUGAGGUGAUACCUUGUUGUGCUUUUGAUUUGCAUUUCCCUGAUAAGUGAGGUUGAGCAUCUUUUCAUUUGUCUGUUGGUCAUCUGGGUGUCUUCCUUAGAAAAGUGUCUGUUCAGGUCCUCUGCCCAUUUUUUAAUCAGAUUGUUUUUUUUGGUAUUGCAGAAGUUCUCUGUAUUGGUUAAUUUGGAUAUUAACCCCUUAUCAGAUAUAUCAUUUGCAGAUACCUUCUUUCCCAUUCAGUAGGUUGCCUUUUUGUUUUGUGGAUGGGUUUCCUUUGCUGUGCGGGAGUUUAGAUCACGUGAAAUCACAGGCUGUGUCCUUUUGUCAUCCAAGAUCAUUUACAAGGGUAGGGGAGAAAGGGUCAGUGGCCACACAGUAAACCCCUGAAAGGCUUGCUGGGCCCCAUCCCCCAUUUCUGAUUCAGAAGAUCUGGAGUAGACUGAGAAUUUGACUAACAAGUUUCUAGAUGAUGAUUAUGAUGCUGCUGCUGCUUUGGGGACCACACUUUGAGAACCACUAGUCUAGGUAAAAGAAGCUUAUGUUGCUGUCUGUCAUGUUCCCUGUUCUUUAGGUAGGGAAGACCUAUGAGUUACUCAACUGUGACAAGCACAAGUCUGUGCUGUUGAAGAAUGGACGGGACCCUGGGGAAGUGAGACCAGACAUAGCUCACCAGGUAACUCCAGGGACAGAGCUCACGACCUCAAGCCUUUGUACAGAAGGUCGGGCAGCUGUGUGCUGCUUCUCUUCGCUUGAAACUAUGCCUUGGUUUCUGCGUCCCCCAGAGUUUACUGAUGCUGAUGGACAGUCCCCUGAACCGAGCUGGCUUGCUGCAGGUUUAUAUCCACACACAGAAGAAUGUGCUGAUUGAAGUGAACCCCCAGACUCGAAUUCCCAGAACCUUUGACCGCUUUUGUGGCCUCAUGGGUGAGAUCUCUAGGAGUUAAGGUUCAGAACGAACUUGGCAGUAGUGAAGAAGGGAGGAAGAGGAAAGAGAUAAAUGAAACGUGAGCUUUGUAAAUAGGAGGAGUGGGGUGUAUGUUUGAUACCAGAACAAGGACUCAUCUUCCCAGGGGCUGGGGUAAAACCUGCAUGGGUUCCUGGCCGAGUGAACUCAUUGCCAUCCAACUAGUCGUAUGCUUGACAACUGCUCGUUCGUAGCAUUUUAGGACCAUAGUGUGGAUGUAAAGGACACACGGAGCCCACUUUACCUGUGGGUUUUUCUGGUUAGAUUUCUGGGCAGAAGAAAUGGGGUCACCACCUAGCUCUGAACUCUUUUCUCCCCACCCUCAGUUCAGCUUUUACACAAACUCAGUGUUCGAGCAGCUGAUGGCCCCCAGAAACUCUUGAAGGUGAGAUACUGGCACCUACUGGUUGGAGGUGGGGUUCUGGGAUUGUUUCUGGGGCUGAUUUUUCUUUUUUUCCCUUGUUCUCUUUAGGUAAUUAAGAACCCAGUGUCAGAUCACUUCCCAGUUGGAUGUAUGAAGAUUGGCACAUCUUUUUCCAUUCCAGUUGUCAGUGAUGUACGAGACUUGGUGCCUAGCAGUGACCCUAUUGUUUUUGUGGUGGGGGCCUUUGCCCAUGGCCAGGUAAGGCCUGGGCUCAACUCUUGGGUUCUUCAUAGAACUGAGGCUUAGUAUAGAAUUCUGAGAACAGCUGGCAUUUUGAUGACCUUGGGAGACAGAGGGUGAGAACAAAGCCGGAAGACAAACAGGGCCUCCACGACCUGCACGCCCCCGCCCCCCCCCCCAGCUGUAUCUUUUGAGGACUGCUGGUAUAUUUGUGACAGUGAGAGUCAAGGCCUUCUUCAUCCUUUGUACAACUUGAACAGCACUGGAGGGGCGCCUCAGUGGCUCAGUCAGUUAAGCGUCUGAUUUCAGCUCGGGUCAUGAUCUUAUGAUUCAUGGGUUCAAGCCCUAUGUUGGGCUCCACGCUAUCAGUGCAGAGCCUGCUUGGGAUUCUCUCUCUCCCCCUCCCACCCUUCCCCCACACGCACUAUCACUCACUCUCUCUCUCAAAAACAAGUAAAUCUUUAAAAAAAUAGCACCAUAAAGAUCGGCUGGCUCAGUCGGUAGAGCUUGCCGCUCUUGAUCUCAGGGUUGUGAGUUCGAGCCCCAUGCCAGGUGUAAACAUUACUUAAAAAUAAAAUCUAGAAAGAAACCCAGCACUGUGAAAUACUAGCUCAGCCCUGUGUUCCCUUCCCCAAAGACGGGCUGAACUUGUUACAGAGUGACAGAACUGUUUCUCUCCUUAGGUCAAUGUGGAGUAUACGGAGAAGAUGGUGUCUAUCAGCAACUACCCCCUGUCUGCAGCCCUCACCUGUGCAAAACUGACCACAGCCUUUGAAGAAGUAUGGGGGGUCAUCUGACAAUAGCACCUUGUUCUGAAACAGAGACUGUUGCCAUUAUAUCCCUUGGCCCUGCUUUCCGCCCGCUGCUCGGAGAGAGGACCUUCCUGCACCGGGACUGUGGGGGGUUUGGGGAAGCCGAGGCUGUACAUUUGCUAUUUGUUUAGCUUAUAAAUACUGUU
rnacentral:lncRNA from 1 species